GACGAACGCUGGCGGCGUGCUUAACACAUGCAAGUCGAACGGAAAGGCCCUGCUUUUGUGGGGUGCUCGAGUGGCGAACGGGUGAGUAACACGUGAGUAACCUGCCCUUGACUUUGGGAUAACUUCAGGAAACUGGGGCUAAUACCGGAUAGGAGCUCCUGCUGCAUGUUGGGGGUUGGAAAGUUUCGGCGGUUGGGGCUGGACUCGCGGCUUAUCAGCUUGUUGGUUGGGUAGUGGCUUACCAAGGUUUUGACGGGUAGCCGGCCUGAGAGGGUGACCGGCCACAUUGGGACUGCGAUACGGCCCAGACUCCUACGGGAGGCAGCAGUGGGGAAUAUUGCACAGUGGGCGGAAGUCUGAUGCAGCAACGCCGCGUGCGGGAUGACGGCCUUCGGGUUGUAAACCGCUUUCGCCUGUGACGAAGCGUGAGUGACGGUAAUGGGUAAAGAAGCACCGGCUAACUACGUG
rnacentral:rRNA from 1 species